rnacentral:rRNA from 1 species
UGGGGAAUAUUGGACAAUGGGCGAAAGCCUGAUCCAGCAAUGCCGCGUGAGUGAUGAAGGCCUUAGGGUUGUAAAGCUCUUUUACCCGGGAUGAUAAUGACAGUACCGGGAGAAUAAGCACCGGCUAACUCCGUGCCAGCAGCCGCGGUAAGACGGAGGGUGCUAGCGUUGUUCGGAAUGACUGGGCGUAAAGGGCGCGUAGGCGGCCGGUUGCGUCGGAUGUGAAAGCCCGGGGCUCAACCCCGGAACGGCAUCCGAUACGGGCUGGCUCGAGACCGAGAGAGGUGAGUGGAAUACCCAGUGUAGAGGUGAAAUUCGUAGAUAUUGGGUGGAACACCGGUGGCGAAAGCGGCUCACUGGCUCGGUUCUGACGCUGAGGCGCGAAAGCGUGGGGAGCAAA